GUGAGUCCCCCCCACUCUCCUGUGAGUCCCCCCCACUCUCCUGUGAGUCCCCCCACUCACCUGUGAGUCCCCCCACUCACCUGUAAGUCCCCCCCACUCUCCUGUAAGUCCCCCUUACUCUCUUGUAAGUCCCCCCACUCUCCUGUAAGCCCCCCCCCCCCCCAAUCUCCUCCUGUAUGUACAAAAACAGUGGACUUAAGGGCUUGAUGUGUUUUCAAGCCUCGUGAAUUCAGGUUUCUAGUCUCCCAGUGCCCUUAAUGGAUGUUAGGGACGCAUAAGUGUGGUUUCCUUUAGAGAGAAAUGUUAGCUUUAUAGUGUUUCUAUAUUCCUUUGCACUAAAAAGAGCGAUGCAUUUGUUCUACGACACUCUAGUGCCAGGUUGCCUACAAUAACUCAACUCGUUUCUAAACUCUGGAAGUUGACAAGUAACUGCCAAGGUCAUUGUUAGAGGUUAUGCAGAUGUCUGAAACACUCCGACGAUCCCUGGGCCGAGGGUAGCCGAGGCUAUUGAAGCUACAUGGUACAGUUUCUCACGAAAUGAACUCUGUAUGGAAAUUGUACCUUGUCUAACCAAGCUGUGGUGGCGUCUGAGUUAGUUAAGUGAACUCUCUUGGUUUCAUUUUGUGAAGCCCUGUCCUGUUAUAUGACAUGCUGUAGGACUGGCCCCCUGUUCCCCAGGAAUCGUGGAUCUCAUGAUAUGCCACAGUCAUGGAUGGACAGAAGUCUAAACAAAGGAAACCUUAGUCCAGAAUUCGGCAGAUUCCAGUUCUAUCGAUUAUCUGUAGCACCGCUGUCUGUUCUUGUGACUGUGGGAACACCCAGAUCCAAGGCUGGGAGGAAGCGUCCAGUUCCCAUCUGGAUCCACAUGCCUGCAGAGGGCAUUAGCGUUGAAGUCCAGCUACAGCCCAUGCCCUCUGACUUUUCAGACCUCUCCUGAGCAGGAGACUUGGCUGGUCUGGAUUGGUCUGUGCCCUGCUACUUGUGAAAGCCAGCCUGUUGUUCUGUGCGUGUGUGCUUGCCUCUUACACACUGAAUUCUGCAGUUUUUCACACCAUUUGUCUUGAAAAAAAAACCCUUCUCAUCAACUCUUUCCCUUUCAGUUCACUGUGAGCUUAGAAGUCAGUGAGUGGUUUUGAAGCCUUGGCAAUGAGUGAAGGACCAUGGCUGAGAACUUGUGCAUGUCUUGUGAUCGGAGGAGAAUCUCCCACCUCACCCCACAGAGCUAUCCUGCAGAGUUUGGGUAGCCUUUUUCCUACAAUCUGAAAAAAUUGUGCAUAUAUCUGUAUACUCGAUUAGGUCUUCCUGUGUAGAUAGGGUCUAAAAAUUGACAGUGGGUCUUAGGGCUCUUCCGUCCUGUGUUGCCUGGGACUCUGAGGACAGUGACGGUGACAUGAGUCUGGACAGACAGGAAACUUCCACACAGUGUUUUCUCUGUGGAGAGGAUGGAGAGGAAUCUACUUGGUUCUGUAAAUAUCAGAAUUUAGCUGGAAGUAUUUGCUAGCGGUGAGGUGUGUACCCAAGCAGUGGGGUCUCUUUAGAAGUGGGGGAAUAUUCUGUUGGCAUAUACAGAAGUUUAAUGUAGAAAUUUGAUCAGGUGUUUUAAAAAAGAAUUCUACCUGCCCCUCACUUUAAGUCUCUCUUAGGAGUUUUAUAUGUGAUUUAAAGAAAUGCUUUGUUGCUUUUGUGUUUAGGGUGAGCGAGUUCUCUGUGAGUCACCUUGUCAGUGGUGGCCGAGUGGACAUUAGCUGUGUAAAUAGCUUCUCAUGAGACAUUUAUAUGGAUAGUGUGUGGUGACAUUUCCUUCCCAUUAUCAAUAGAGACUCUUUAUGAACUCCAUUUCUCUGAAGUUACCAAAAAAAAAAAAAAGCCCUGGCUUAUGGUCCCAUGUGACCUUGUAUCCGUUAAGCCCAAAAUAUGAGUGCCUUUAGCAAGUGUUAGCAUUUCACAGAGGAUAGAAAUGACAGAAUUUACUGCCGUUAACCACAGUUCAUAAAAUAGCUUGAAAUAGUAAAGGUCCUUGUGAAUUCUGUUCCAUGUCUCCCCCGCCCCCCUUUGUUAGUGCAAUCUCAAUUUGCUAUUGUGGUAAAACUGCACUCUGAGUAGGAACCUGGUUGCCGUGGCUGGCUGUAGUCCCCUGGGCAGGCUAUGUCCUGGUUGCCGUGGCUGGCUGUAUUCCCCUGGGCGGGCUAUGUCCUGGUUGCCGAGGCUAGCAGUUCACCUGGGUGGGCUAUAUCCUGGUUGCCGAGGCUAGCAGUUCACCUGGAUGGGCUGUGUUUGAUGAUGUAGACGACUCAGCUUGAGAUGCUGACAUUGGAAUAGACCUCCUACGCUGAUCGUCCCAGCUUGGUUCUUCUGUAGAGAGGAGAGAGUUAUGUAUCUGAACAUGAAGUGCAUUGAGGGACUGGCAGGGACUGGCAGGGACAGUGGCUCGGGUCACUCUGUACAUCCACAGGGUCACCUAGUGCGGAUGGAGGGCCUUUCCAAGCAAGCUUGAGGCCUUUGAAAACGAUUUCCUUAGUUCGAUUAACUGACAACUUUAAAUUUCCUGAGUCUUUACAGCCUUUUGAACGUAUGAUAAAACUAAUUUUGGUGUAGAAAUAGUAACGCCCCAACAUUUUAUCAUGAAGAAUUUCGGAUAUUUAUCAGAGUGAAAACAUUUGGAGCAUAGCUAACUCUGUCUUUGUCAACAUUUUCCCACUGUAUUUCUAUGUAUCUCCCCGUGAGCUGUAUUCCACUGUAUUCAUCCGUCUGCCCAUCAGGACAGACGGCUCAGUAUCAAUUUCCGACAGUGCCCAUACUGUGGGUAUCAUGCACUGGGAUUUAACAUUUAAAUGUUAGUACCUUAGGAAAGCUGCGUGUGUAGGUCCUAACUUGAGCCGUGAACAGUCAUGAUUCUCUCCUGUGGACGUCAGUCUUCCUUGUUUCUGUUCUUGGGUCUCCAACAAGUCUGCACCAGGUUUCCUGGUCCUCAAAGAUUACUUUCCUGACGGGACUUGUUGUGACCUCUUUGGGUACUGUGACCACUCGCCUUCUAUCAUGUACAUAGCAGAAUUAGCACUAAGACGGCAGUCCUGUCCACCGAGGGGUGGGUGAGCCUUGGAGCAGUCUGUAUUCAGUCAUGCCGAGGAAAACUGCCCUCUGCCUCCAUCCUGUGCCCACCUGCUGUGGACAGCUCUGCAGAGCUGGAAGGGGUUUGCUCCAGGUCAGGGAGAUGGGAUGGGCAGAUGAAUCAGAGCCCAAACUUGAAUGUUCUGGAUUUUAAUCUUAGGAUCCAAAGUAAUUGAACACUUCUUUGGGGCUCUUAGAAGGACUGUAUUUAUUUUUACGAAUUAGAAUUUUAUUUUUUGACAUUUCAUAAUUCUUUUGACAUAAAGAUGUCCUUAUGGCCAUUUGUUGUUGUUUUGUUUUGUAAAGUUCCAUCUAGCCCAGGCUAGUCUUAAUUCUACCUACUAUGUAGCCGAGGAUGACCUUGAACUCACAAUCCUCCUGCCUCCACCUCUUGGUGCUGGGAUUACAGGCAUGUGCCACCAUGCCAGGCUAUAAUUGUAGUUUUUAAGUCCACAGCAGUUGCUAACAUCUCACUGCACAUUGAACACCAACUAGUGCAGGGUCUGUCUGAUUCUUUGUCUUCAAAUGGCUUUCAUGAUCACUCUGUCAAUGUAAGUGCUCAAGUAACCCCUCCCUAGUGAAAAUGGUGUUCUUUAUCACUGACCACGUGUGCACUCUCUACCUGAUGCUUUUUUUCUUUUCUUUUUAGAGAAAAUGACUCCAUAAGUCAGGAUGAGUGAUACUGUCGUAGGGCAAAGCCCGUGCUUGGGAACAAACCUCUUGGAAGUGGCUGGUCAUUGUUCUGCCCUCUUUUAGUCUCUGAAUACCUGCCAAAGGUUCUGUAAGCCAGUGCGUCAUUUUGUUAGAGUCUCACGUGGACUCUGCUCACCUGUGGUGCCCCCGUCACUGCAGUGACCUGGAGCGGGUUAGGUGUGUUGUCUUUGAAAUGCCUUACUGGGCAUGCCAGGCUCUGCUGUUGAGCAUCCCAGCUGUCCGCUGAGACGCACACGUCCCCUCGGGGAUGAGUGCUCUCGGUCCGGAAGCAAAGCUGAUCUUACUUUCAGUAUCAAGGGCGCAUUUUAAUGCAGUGAUUGUCUUACAUUAGAAAUGACGUAGAAAGCCAAGAGACAGUUUGGAACCCUUCAUGUGAUCACAUGGCGAACUGUAAAUGUGCUUUUGCUGUUUCAGUAGGAAGAAUGCAGCUAAGAAGUGCCAGUCCAAACCAGGAGAGUGGGGCUGUGCCGUGGAAUGCUCUCCACUUGUCUUUGGGGGUUGGAAAUCUGAGCAAGCCAUCGGGCAGUGGGCCAGUCUCUGUUUGGAGAUCUCCUCUUCAGGGACUACAGAGCUGACUGACAUGUCACGGGAUUCAAACCAAUCAACUGUGAAUUGUGAAAUUGAAAUUGCUGUUUUAGUUUUAUUUUCUUCUGCCUAUUAACUAUAGAAGUCUGAAUGUUAUUUAAGCUUCUGCUUAUGUUGAUGGCUCAUCUUGGCUGUAUAUUCUCAUGUAUGUACUGAUUUCUGAUAAAGGCUUGAUGAUAUUGUAACAGGCUUUUUGUGUUCAGUUUAAUAAAACAGUUUUUGAGUCUUGUCUCAAAA